AUUGAACGCUGGCGGCAGGCCUAACACAUGCAAGUCGAACGCGUGGCGGACGGGUGAGUAAUGUCUGGGAAACUGUCCGAUGGAGGGGGAUAACUACUGGAAACGGUAGCUAAUACCGCAUACCAUCGGAUGUGCCCAGAUGGGGUUAGCUUGUAGGGUAGGUAACGGCUCACCUAGGCGACUAUCCCUAGAUGGUCUGAGAGGAUGACCAGCCACACUGGGACUGAGACACGGUCCAUACUCCUACGGGAGGCAGCAGUGGGGAAUAUUGCACAAUGGGCGCAAGCCUGAUGCAGCCAUGCCGCGUGUAUGAAGAAGGCCGUAGGGUUGUAAAGUACUUUCAGCGGGGAGGCGUUACCCGCAGAAGAAGCACCGGCUAACUCCGUGCCAGCAGCCGCGGUAAUAC
rnacentral:rRNA from 1 species